UACGGGGGGGGCAAGGCGUUGUUCGGAAUUACUGGCGUAAAGGGCGCGUAGGCGGCACAACAAGUCGGAAGUGAAAGCCCGGGGCGUCAACCCCGGAAUGUCUUUCGAAACUGUUGAGCUAGAGUGCAGAAGAGGCAACUGGAAUUCCCAGUGUAGCGGUGAAAUGCGUAGAUAUUGGGAAGAACACCUGAGGCGAAGGCGGGUUGCUGGGCUGACACUGACGCUGAGGCGCGAAAGCCAGGGGAGCGAACGGGG
rnacentral:rRNA from 1 species